AUCCAGAUGUCUAGAGUCCCAAACAGGACGAAAUGCGCAUCCUGAAU
rnacentral:hammerhead_ribozyme from 1 species